GAGACAAUGUGUGUGACAAUGGGUGUCUCAAUCCUCGCACAUUCGGACGCAUGCAUGUACAGAUGUAGCCAGUCAGUCUUCCCCCUGUUCGGACCUGUCCAGGCGACACCCUCUCUCCAACCCCACACAAUCUAUCCACCAUUCCUGAUACGUCUCUCUUCUUAGUAUAGCUAUUAUUAAAAAGAUUGUCACAUUACACUAUUGAUACAGUAUAAGCGAAGAAGUGAGGGAGAUUGAGGUUUUUCAAGAUAGAUCAGAUUAUUCUCCAGCUGGAGGCUGCGGCAAUUGUGAAUUGGUGGAUUUAGAAAGACACAGACUGAAAAAAUGAUUUAUGCAAUACUAAUUAGGCAACCUGUACUCUCCAGAGAUUGUUCAACUACAUUUCCAGUAUUCGUGGAACGUGACACCAUCUGGGUGGCAUAGAUGUACACUUGUAACAGGCCCCGGCACUCAAGGGAUCCUAUCUGACAUUUCACUGAGAGUUUUCUCCUUCACUCUUCACUUUGUGAUCGAUUGUACCAUCAGCCUGUCUCCAAACCUUAAGCCAUGGGCUGAGUCAAAUACAUAGAUUGCAAAUUAUUUUGGUCUCCAGAAUAACAGAAAGAUUUGAGCAAGCCUACAAGAUGUUCUCCAAGAUCUUUCAAACAACCUUCCUGCUGAGUCCCUUUAAAAACUGUGUGCAAGUGUACCAA